AUGGCGUAAUGUAUAAUUGGAAUUGAAUUAUUUCUGGAUUUACAAAGAAAAACAGCAAGACUUGCCGCAGCCAAAAGUAUAUCAACCGCUUUUAUAGCUUCGGAAAAGAAAGAAUCAUCAUCCUGGACAAUCAAGAACCAAUGGAUCAGAUUUUCUUUCACCAAAACAUUUUUGUAUGCAUUGAAAAAGAAGUCAAAGUUACUUCUAUGAAAGAAUUACGAAACUUCUUAAUUUCUGUUAUCCUAUUUUGUUGGAGAUAGUUCUUGAUCGAUAAAAAAAGAGGCUAUACGCGAAGCGUGUGACGUACAGUAUGAAGAAAAGAAUUGUGAAGCUGUGACAGAUGAAUGUCCAAAAAAUAAUCUUUUAUAGGACCAAAUCUUUCUGUAAUAAUUGGAGCAUUUAAACCCGCAAAAAUUGUCGGUAUUCCCAGAGGUUUGAAAAAACUUGUUUCCUCAAAAAUGAAGAGUCUACGGUACACAGAACUUAUAUAUUAUAUUAUAUAGAAAUCCUUGGAAUGCGCCACUUCUGAGUCUAUUAAAAGUCUUUACAAUCAAUUACUUACCAUACAUGGCAGUAGUGUAAUAUAAAUUUGAAUGGAAUUAUUUCAGGACUUAGAAAGGUAUCAUAAUCGGAUAUAUGUGUAAUCGUCUUUAAUAUGAAUGGGUUUUUGAUAUAAUUGUACUUUGGACGGCUCAUGCUUCCUUAUCGAGUGCCUCUUUGUCAAGAGCUAACAAAGUUUCAUUUCAAUUUAAUCUCGAUAUCGUUCUUUGUUUUAUUUCAAUAAUCGAUUCGUUUACCCUUUCUCUCUCUCUCUCUCUCUAUAUAUAUAUAUAUAGUAUAUAAUACAUAACAGAAAUGAGUAACUAAGGGUUUACAAAAAAACAUUAUCAUAUACAUAUUCAUAUACGCCUCAAUGCAAUUACGACUUACAUCUUGCAUCAAAAAAUGACAAUAGUCGACUAUAAUUAGUGAAUUUCUUAAUCAGUGGUAUUACAUCUUACGUUGAUACAUUUGUGAAGAGUUUUGUUAUCUACGGCCAGUUGAAAGGCAUUUUAACUAUUAACCGAAGUAUUGAAAUCUUUGAUCAAAAGUCUUAACGUUAACGACAAACGAAUAAAAGAUUGUAUUAGAGUUUAAUUCGAUAUCUUCCAUUGUAUCUUCCAAUAUAAUAAUGUAAAGUUUAUUAACGAGAAGUAGAAUCAUAUAUCUAAUUAAAAAUAAACAACUAAUAGAUUUCGUUCCAUUACACAAAUGUAUAUACAUACAUUUAUGCGUACACAUUAAAAGUAUUGCUAAUAAAAAAUCAAUGGAAUUAUAGAAAACAUUUCAUUGUAAAUUGAUGCCGACAAUAACAAAUACCCUUCAAUAAUGUGUAAUUUUUUCUUUUUCUAUUAAGUAUUAAUUUCUUUGUUAAUCAAUUUAAACAUUUUUAGUUCAUAAUGAAUUCUAUCAAUAACAAUAUCAGAUAUUUAAUUUUGGCUCAUUGCAGAAGAAAGGUUGCUCGUUACUGUCUACACAAUAUAAUAAACCUCAAGCAAUACCCAAGGAAAGACUACUAUAUACUUUGUGUAUGUGUGCGUGGGUGUGUAUAUUAUGUAUCUAGUUAUGUACAUAUGUAUCUAUUUACAAACGUAUGUUUAUAUGGGAUCUUCCAACAUUCCACCUUGGUGGUUGCCGAAAGAUUGAUCUCAUACGAUAUUCGACAGAAAGUAAAUAACAUAAGGUGUAUUUAGAUAUUUCACCUUAUAUAGAAACAUAUAAACAUUGUAAUAAUUUUUGCUUUGUAUAUGUCAGCUAGUAAAUGGUAUAAACAUUCUCUUUUUCUUUCAGUGUAAUAAUAUUAUAUAUAUAUAUAUAUAUAUUAAAAUUUUUAUAAUUUAAUUAGUUAAUUAAUCAAAAUCAAAAAAUAAAAGAAAGCAACAGGAAUAGAAAAAUACGAGACCUCAUCGAAAACUCCGUUUGUUAGAAAACAAUGUACUUUCAUCUCUCUCUCUCUCUCUCUCUCUCUUCCUCGCUGUUUUGCUAUUUUUUUCUUAAUUUUUCUGUAUGCACGUGUACGCGUAUGUACGUAAUACGUAUAUGCCUUUUAACAAAUGUAAUAUCGUUUGGUAUCGAUAUAUUUUAUAUAUAGAAAGAUCGUCGACGAUCGAACGUGAUGCGUGUACCUGAUCGUGACACCCUUAUUUCAAUAUUGUAAAUUUAAUUUGUCAACGAGGUAUAAAUUCUAUAUUCAUUUAAAUACACAUACCUUGAUAUGUGUAUGAAUAAUGCAUAUUAAUCAUAAUACGCAUUAAAUGACACGUUUAAAUGAAA